CUAAGCCAGAAAGUACCUUCUGAACAGGCAAGGAUACUUGAGGCUUACCUAAAAGUACUUUACUGUCAGCAGGUUCUUUCAAUGGAUAAAAGUUCCCCAACACAAAAUAUAAAAGCUUAAUAUUUUCCGUUCUGUAUGGUACCUUGAUCAGGAUGUUUUUUCUUCCCUCUCCGCAUCAAUAUGCAAGCUACAGCUAAAGCUAUUAGCAAGAUAAGAGCUGCACCGACUGAUGCACCAAUAAUAACAUUCAUAUGUUUCGAUCUUCCACCUCCUUCAUGAAGAUUGAUAUUUCCUGAGUAGCUGCAUACAGGCAGAGGAUUGAGUUGUAAUACUAGGAAGCAAAUAUCCAUCUACUUGUUUUUGUUGAAGACAAUAAUAAGG
rnacentral:lncRNA from 1 species